GCUUCCCGGCUCCACCCUUUUCCUCUCGUCCUCUAUUCAUGCCCAGCGCCAUUUGUUUUUAACUCCUUUCUCAACUAAAGCUUACUGUAUCAACAUGC